rnacentral:rRNA from 1 species
GAUGAACGCUGGCGGCGUGCCUAAUACAUGCAAGUCGAGCGAACAGACGAGGAGCCUGCUCCUCUGACGUUAGCGGCGGACGGGUGAGUAACACGUGGAUAACCUACCUAUAAGACUGGGAUAACUUCGGGAAACCGGAGCUAAUACCGGAUAAUAUAUUGAACCGCAUGGUUCAAUAGUGAAAGACGGUUUUGCUGUCACUUAUAGAUGGAUCCGCGCCGCAUUAGCUAGUUGGUAAGGUAACGGCUUACCAAGGCAACGAUGCGUAGCCGACCUGAGAGGGGGAUCGGCCACACUGGAGCUGAGACACGGUCCAGGCACCGACGGGAGGCAGCAGUAGGGAAUCUUCCGCGAUGGGCGAAAGCCUGACGGAGCAACGCCGCGUGAGUGAUGAAGGGCUUCGGAUCGUAAAACUCUGUUAUUAGGGAAGAACAAAUGUGUAGUAACUAUGCACGUCUUGACGGUACCUAAUCAGAAAGCCACGGCUAACUACGUG